UACGUAGGGACCGAGCGUUGUCCGGAUUCAUUGGGCGUAAAGAGCUCGUAGGCGGCUGUUCAAGUCGAACGUGAAAACUCGGGGCUCAACUCCGAGCUUGCAGUCGAUACGGGCAGGCUAGAGUUCGGUAGGGGAGACUGGAAUUCCUGGUGUAGCGGUGAAAUGCGCAGAUAUCAGGAGGAACACCGAUGGCGAAGGCAGGUCUCUGGGCCGAUACUGACGCUGAGGAGCGAAAGCGUGGGGAGCGAACAGG
rnacentral:rRNA from 1 species